rnacentral:tRNA from 1 species
GGAGAGGUGGCCGAGCGGUUGAAGGCGCACGCUUGGAAAGCGUGUAUAGGGGAAACUUUAUCAUGGGUUCGAAUCCCAUUCUCUCCGCCA